rnacentral:lncRNA from 1 species
AUGGGACCUGGGACAGGUGAGACAGCACCAGCACUCACCCUGGGCCUUGAGAAGGCUGCAGCGUCUGCUUUUCCCAUCGCUCUCGGAACCAGCACCGUGAGAGAAGGCUCACUGAAUCCACCAAGAAACACAUGGCGCAGUCACCCCCUGUCACCGCAGCUGAUAGCCAGCCAGCUACGGGGAGAGCCGACUAAGAGGGCUAUAGAGAGGCCUUCCAGGGGGGCACUGACGUCAGGUAGCACGAGUGAUGCUAGCAUCAGCCAAGCCCGGACUAGACCAGAAGAACCACCAUAUAAGCUCUCUUCUUAUUUGCAGCCUCCUCCAUCGUUCUUCAGCACACCUAGGGAAGAGCCAUGCAAUCAGAAGCACACAUGUUGGACUUUCCAAAGAUAAAAAAUGUACUGUUAUCGGUAAAAGCCAUUAAGAUCUUGAGGUUGUUGCAGCAGUUAAUUUAUCCUGGCUACUUCACCUCUGUCUUGGGGUUGUUCAAUAGAUUAAAUAAAAUGAAUGUAAUGGCUUGAAUAUUACUCCUGCCCUGCAGUGAUAUAUCUAUAUCCAAACCCUAGGAUACUGGGAAUGUGGCCUUAUGAGGUAAAAGGGUCUCUGUAGUUGUCCUUAAGGAUCUUGAGGUCAUCCUGGAUUACCUGUUACAUGUGUGGGCUCUAAAUCCACUGAUGACUGUCUUUAUUUUUUUAAUAAUAUUUAUUUAUUAUUUAUUAGACUGCUUUGGAUCGAUCUUAAGCCCCGUUGGGGUGCAGGGGCUUAGCUACCCCACGGCAUGUGAGAUCUUGGUUCUCCAACCCAAGUCCUCUGCGUUGCAAGGUGAAUUCUUAACCACUGGGCCACCAGGGAAGUCCUGAUGGCUGUCUUUAUAAAGCAGGAGAGUUUUAUAAGCCACAGAUAGACGAGGAGAUGGUCACGUGAAGAUAAGAGGCAGAGAUUGGAGCGAGAUAGCCACAAACCAAGGAAAGCCUGGAGCAGCUGGAAGAGGCAAAGAACAGAUUCCUCCACGGGGCCUUCCUGUUAUGGCCAAACGCUCCAGGAAACACUCACGCAGAAGGACAGCGUGGAUAGUGGAGAGCAGUUUAUGACACCGCGGGUCCGAGGCGGUUUCCUCCUUAGCCAGGGCCCCCGACCGACUUACGUGAAAACCUUAUAUACCUUAAGUGUACUGCUCAAGCCCACAUCCCCAGA